UAUUGCAACCAACAAACCAGAAAAAUAUAUAGCCAUCAUUUUAUCCUCGCUGGUUGUGCCUCUACAACUCUUUGUAUUGUCUUUCAGACUUUGUGCGUGCAGUGUUGGCAGGGUGUUAGAGAAGAUUGGCUUAUUGGGUCUUUAGUAGCUGAAGACUUUCCAUCCAUGUACAUGUAUUAAUAAGACACCUACUGCUGCUACUAUCUCGACCACUAUACACUAUACUGACCUUGCAACCAUCUUCAAUAGUGCAACCUCAGCCUGAAUUGUACUGUACCUCAUACAUUUGUAAUUGUUAAUGGAGACGAUGAGAUAGAAUUAAGUUUAGCCGGUAAUUCCUUUUGUAUCAACUGGUCAAUAACUGGGCCUUGCAGCAUGCAGCAUAUUUCCAUUCGCUUGGGUCUCCUACAAACAGUCACACGUUCAAGACGAAACACCACCAGAUCACAAACUUACCAGUGACUGUAGGCUGACUACUUCCGUGCAAGGUCCAGUUGUGGUACCUGUCGUGCCAAAACUGUACUAAGUGGACCAAGUCAUCCCCCUAGUACUGUACAUUAGUAGUAGCCAAAAAUGAGCCAGUGUUAGGGUUAGCGUAAUAAAUGGACCCAAUGUAGUAGGAAAUUGGGUAUGCGGAUAUUAGGUAUGGUGUGGCCGUACCUAAUAUCCUAAGUACCAGAUUUUUUAGCAUACUAGAUAUUUGUAUUAGAUUGAACAAUUUAGGAUAUCAGAUAUACGUACCAGAUUUCCUAGGGAUAUUCAGUACAGUCCUACCAGAUUUCCUGCUACGGACAGACCUUACUGGAUUUCCUAGAGUCGUACUUACUCUGCUAGGAAAUUUGGUACGGCCAUACCCAAUAUCCGGGCGUAGCCAAAUCUGCUGACAAACUGGACCCCCCCGCCAUUCAUUCUUACCUCUGACCGAGUAGUCCAACAAAGAUAAACUUAACUUGUAUGAGUAGAUCUUAUCAAGACAAAUCGAUCGGUAUAAGUUACUCCGUUAUCUUCGCUUUUGUAUACGAGAACGAGCGAUGUUACUGUGAUGUGCAACGCCCACGCGCCUGCUUCCUGGUCGAUUAAGCUCCGCCCACUGAGAACGAAUGCGUUUACGGAUUACUGCUACGGAUAUAUCGAGAAUGCCAAAUGUGAAUGCGAAGAUAUGAAGAUCUGCCUUCUUGCCGUCAGUGGUUCCUCUCUAAAGUAAAAUGGUGUCGGCAGAGCUGGUUUCCCGCCAGACUUUGAAGCAGAAUUCCUCAAUACCACGGCUUACCUAGAGAACGCGCUUGUGCUUGAGUAUUUGUUUAUCCUUGUUCUUUUAAUAUCCGAAGAGAAACGUUCAGCGCGCCGUCUGGCGUGUGCUACAGAGGACGUUCCUAUUUUCACAUCCGGUCUGCUUACUUUCUUUUGCCGCUGAUUGGUAGAAGGUUACAAUCCCGGAUGUCCAAAUGGGUUCGUCCUCUGCUGCACACGCCAGACGGCGCGCUGAACGUUUCUCUUCAGAUAUUAAAAGAACAAGGAUAAACAAGUACUGAAGCACAAGCGCGUUCUCUAGAGAGGAACCACUGACGGCAAGAAGGCAGAUCUUCAUAAUAUCUUCGCAUUCACAUUCGGAAUUCUCGAUACAUCCGUAGCAGUCAUCCGUAAACGCAUUGAUUCGUUCUCAGUGGGCGGAGCUUAAUCGUCCAGGAAGCGCGGAGCAGGCGCGUGGGCGUUGUACAUCACAGAAACAUCGCUCGUUCUCGUAUACAAAUGCGAAGAUAACGGAGUAACUUAUACCGAUCGAUUUGUCUUGGUAAGAUCUACUCAUACAAGUUAAGUUCAUUUUUGUUGGACUUCUCCUCUAGGUAGUUUCCAGAGCAUUAGGAAAUGCUAUGUCAUGUAUCCUGGCAGCAACUGAUUUAUAAAUCCAUUUCUUUCAAUUCUUCUUGCAGGAAGACAUACGUAUACAUAUAGACUUUUGAAUUCCUUGGCAAACCCGCCCUAGAGAAAGAAGAAUCGAUGCCGCUGUGUCAGGAUACAAGCGUGCCGUGUCAUCCGUUCUUGUGGCUCCGCAUUCGUUAGGAAUGAACAGUUAGGACAAAUCAACCGUCACCUUUUAACGCUCGCAAGACCAGGACAAACAACCGCCACGGUUUAGCGCGCGCAUGACCAUAAGCGCAUAAGCGCAAAACCACUGGUGUCUAAGUCAGGGCCUAAUUAAUUUAGAAAUAUUCGUUCCAUCCAGUGAGGAUAGGUUUAAUUAAUUUAGUAGCGAUGAUACACCAAGUGAGUUUGUUUUACUUUGCUUAGGUUGACACGGGUAUUUCAUUCAGUAAGUUCUGUAAGUAUAAUACAAACAUGCAAUGGUUUUAGACAUUGGGUCAUGUAGAGUGUCCGAGAAGAAAAUGACAUGUUCAGCAAUUGGGCUGACCACUCUACCCCAUACUUGCAGUUGCGAGAAGCCUGAACACUAGAGUGCACCUGUUUUCAUGCUAACACUCAUGUGUUCUUCAAACUGACAAACAAACACCAAGGCAGACAAACAAACAAAUCAAUGUCUGACAACAUGCGCAGUCUACUCAAGUUUGUGGCAGCCCACCACUCUGCUCAGAGAAAGAGUUUUGGGUUCACCAUUCUUCAGAAGAUCAUCAGUCAACAUGUCACUGGUAGCACAGCGUACGGUGACAUCCUCUCUUUCAGAUGAAUACACAGUUUCA